rnacentral:misc_RNA from 1 species
GGGCUAAAUAUUCAGCCAAAGCUAAAAGCAAGAGUAGUAUAGUAUAGGGGUACGCAUAUCCCCCACCAAAUGUAAUGUGAUUCAAUAGCUAAUUAGCUAUUACUCUGAUCGAUUGGCGUACCUUUCAACCUUAUCAUCAUUCAGAUUAAUUCCAACCAUAGCCUCGCCCAAUCCACAGCUCACCUCCGCAAGCACAUCAGGAUCACUAUAAUGCGUCACUGCCUGCACAAUCGCGCGGGCUCUCCUCGCCGGAUCCCCACUCUUAAACACUCCAGAACCCACAAACACCCCAUCGCAUCCCAGCUGCAUCAUCAUGGCUGCAUCCGCUGGGG